AUACUUAAAUGGCGGGGGAUUUACCGUGAUCAUGAAAGUGGUUUUCUCAGGGUGAGGCUCAUCCAUUGCACUUGGAAUGCAUUGACCUCUGUGAUUUCUCCAAAUGUAGGAAACUUGACUGCAUGAUUUGUGGUAGCAGGAGACGCCAAUCACAUUUGCCCCUG
ensembl:snRNA U1 U1 spliceosomal RNA